rnacentral:rRNA from 1 species
UGCGGAAGGAUCAUUAUCGAGGGGGCUUGCCCCCGUCAAGAUACCACCCUUUGCCUUUGAGUACCUUCUGGUUUCCUCGGCAGGCUCGCCUGCCAAUGGGGACCACAACCAAACCUUUUUGUAUCUGUAGUAAACGUUUUACAAAAUAAAAAAUCAAAACUUUCAACAACGGAUCUCUUGGUUCUGGCAUCGAUGAAGAACGCAGCGAAAUGCGAUAAGUAGUGUGAAUUGCAGAAUUCAGUGAAUCAUCGAAUCUUUGAACGCACAUUGCGCCCUUUGGUAUUCCUUAGGGCAUGCCUGUUCGAGCGUCAUCUAACCCUUCAAGCACUGCUUGGUGUUGGGCGUUUGUCCCGCCUUGGGCGCGGACUCGCCUCAAAGACAUUGGCGGCCUGUGUAUUGGCUUCGAGCGCAGCAGACUCGCGCGUCGACUUCCUCUAGCACUAGGCGUCCAGCAAGCCUAUUAUCUCAAGUUUGACCUCGGAUCAGGUAGGGAUACCCGCUG